rnacentral:lncRNA from 1 species
UUUAAAUCUUAUUAGCAUGUUUACUAACAAUGAAUCUUAUUAUAUAAUUAAAUAUCUAAAACACAUAUGCAAAAGAAAUCUAUUAGUUUAUUACUUGUCUACUCUGGAGUGCCAUCUUCACAACCAUAAUAGACAGGAAAUUAAAAAAAAUAAUUUUCCAAUUGUCAUCUUUCCUGAGACAAUAAUACUGAAAACCUGGACCCCAGCACAUACUACUGUAGCCUGUGCCCUUUGUUCUUUUCUAAAACAGCUGCAGUGCUACCAGUAUUACCUACUGCAGAAUGGGGUUUUCCUGCCUCUGGAUCUUGCUGAGAGCAUAUUUUCUUACUCUCCAAGCUUUUAUGCCUAAUCUUCUAUACACAAGGAUGAGCUCUUUCUAGGUAACAUGCUUUUACUGCAGCAAUAAUCUAACUAAUAACUUCAAAUUAUAUUUCUUUCUGAAUAUUGCAUGGCAUUUGGAAAAGAAUAAAAUUAUAUUUACCACUCUAGUUUGCAAAUGUUCCUGCUGUUACAGCCAGUGCUUCCUAAUGGAGGGGCUGAUAAUCUUGCUUGUGGUUUAUCACCUAUUUUGUUUCACUUUGAUCCCUCUGGAGCAUUUUAGUACUUGUGGGAACUAUAUAAGAGAAGAAAACCACUAGAAGACUUAGAUCAGUCACUGUGUUGUUUUCAUACCCUAAAUAGUACAUAUUCAUUGAGAAGAAUAUGGAAAGUAAUGAAUUGUAUUGUGGAUUAUCUGGUUUGUUGUACCUAUAUGUGCCAUGAACUAUUAAAUGUAAGUAUUUUGUAAUUGAAUACAUUUUUAAAAAAUAAAUAUUUGAAUUGCCAUUUGCAUGUUUUUAGAGACUAAUGGUAUUUUCUUUUUCUUUCUAGUAAUUUGCCUAGUGGGAUUAGGCCUAGUGGUCUUCUUCUUCAGUUUUCUACUUUCAAUAUUUCGUUCCAAGUACCACGGCUAUCCUUAUAGGUAAUAUCUUUAUACUAAUGUGAAUUUUUUCUUUUUUAACUACAAAAUUCCAAUAGUUAACAUAUAAUUAAAGAUUUAUGUAAAGUACCUAAUUAGCCAUGCAAUUUUAAAUUCUGUUAAGCCAUUCUUUGAGCACCUACCAUGUGUUAGGCAUAGUAGCCUCUGCAAAGGAGGUAUAAGAGACAUUGUGUUCCCAAGUAGGAUAUCAUGUUCAUUUUAGAGACAUAACGAAAUGAGUUCUAAGCUUUAUGUACUUAACCUAAUUUCUAUUUGUCAUAAUUUUUACUUUAUGUGCAAGAUUGUUUUUUCAUGUAAUCUACUCUCAGUGUCACCUUUUGAAUUCUGCAAACUUCUAACUUUUUAAAGAGCCUUUCUGCUGAGGUAGUAGAAGCAAUGAUGUAUUGAUAAAAAAUAAAAUUUCAUGAUACCUUACCUUCUUCAUGUGAAUAGUGGGCGUCUUAAGAGAAUGUUUCUACAUAGACCAUAGGAGCAAUACAGUAUUAGCUUUAUCUGAAGGAACAGAAAAAAUAUUACAUGGAGAGGUGAUCUGACUAUGGAAUUAUAGUUGAAGAACAAGAAUCUUCAGCCUCACCCCACUGUUUUCUCACAUGGCUGGAGAUACAUUUCAGAUUGUUUUCUUCCCACACUCAUUAAAAAUAAAUGUGCUUGGGCUGGGGAUUUAGCUCAGUGGUUUCGCUGCCUGCUGCGCAAGCGCAAGGACCUGAGUUCGAUCCCUGGUACCAAAAUAAAUAAAUGAAUGUGCUAAGAGAAUGGAAGGAGUGUGGAUAUCAGAUCUGAGUUGUGGGGAUCAUCUGCCUUAAAUGUAGCCUACAGUAUAAAUGAAUUUUUAAAAACACCAAUUGUGGGGACAACAAGAAUAAUAAGAAAGGCCAAUGAAGUCCUCAGUGUUUUCACUUUAUUCUUGAUUUUAGCCACCCAAUUUUGGUUUUGAAAUUAUAAAAUGAACAAAUUAAUCAGAUUAAUUCAUACCCAAGAAAAGAUUAAGCUUUUUUACUUUUCCUUUUUUCCUACCUUGGGAUUGAGAAUCCUGGUUCUGUCUGACAUAUCUUAGUUUGAUGUACCUGUGAUCUGUAUGGAAUCUCUAAAUGAAGCCAAAUGGAAAUACUUUGUAUUUUAAAGCCUUUUAGCAAGGAUUUUUUUAAAAAAAAAACACUUAAUAUUAACUCAUUUCAGUCUGUAGCACUCAAAAUAUGUCAAAGGAAAAGUUUUGUCCCUAUUUUUGUAAAAAAGAUAAACUGCACCAGGAACUGUCAUUAGCUUCUCAAAACCUCUAUGGUUGGUGGUCAGGAGGUGAGGAAAGGUAAAGGGCAGACUAGUGUUCCUGGUAUUACCUACCAUGUAAUUGUACUUCAACGGUAUUUCCUACAUAGAUUUUUCUCUGACAUAGCAAAAUAGUGACCAAGAAAAGAAAAAAAGCCAGCUUUUAUUAGUUUUUCAUGAUAGUGUUAUAUUUGACAGCACUAUUUUUGAUACAAUAUGAAUAGUUUUCAAGUUUGUCCUUUUUUCUAAGAAGUAGUUGUCAUUUAGCAAUAGCCUGGCAAUUCUCUGGGCUUUUUUAAAGCCCAGGUGAAACAUAUAAAUAACUUGUAGAGCUUUACAAAAUUCAUAUUGUAGGCCUCAUGUUAGAUAUACAUAGUAAGCAUAUCUAAAACAGAAGUCAUACCUACUUAUUUUAUUUCAACCUCCUUUUGGGGGGGGGUGUUUUUGGGUUGUUUUGGUUUUGGUUUUGAUUUUUUUUAAUUCAUUAAGUUUAUUGGUACAUUUUAGGUAUACAGUGUGAUGACAUUUAUCAUUGGGAAUUUGUACCUUUAUAUAAUAUAUCUUGGCUCUUAUUUUUCCCUCAUUCCUUUACCCUCCCUUCCACCCCUCCACCCUUCCCUAUUUGCAAAGACUUUCUCUGAUGUGAGAAAGUUAAAGUUUAAGGAUCAAAAUAUAUAAUAGAUAAUGUGAAAUAGGAAGAAAAGGUCCAAAAUGGAAGGGGGAGGGGGAGGAGAAACGAAAGAAGGGAAAGGAAUAAAUAUGAGAAAAGGAUUUUUUGUGUUUUUGAGAUAAGGUCUCACCAUGUAGUUUAGGGUGGCCUCCAACUUGUGGCAAUCCUCCUGCCUCUCCUGCCCAAGUGCUGGGAUUACGAAUGUACCACCAUGCCCAGCCUAUUUCAACUUUUUUAUUGUGCAGCCAGUCACACUCCCUUGUCAAGAUGAGCUUACCUUCAGCUGGCCUCUUAAGCCUGGAAAUGUGCAGUCUCCUAGAAAAAGAGAUGGAAGUCAUGCCCUUGCAAGAGUAGCUUGUGAAUAUGAAACUUGACAUUGUUCAGGUGAAAACCAGUAAAAAGCUGCCAAGCGACAGAGUCAGAAGAGAGCCUAGCAAAGAAGCUUGGGAAACCCGGUGAGCUAAACAACAUGAGGUGCAGUGUGGAAGUGGAAUGCUGGCCUGGCCUAGACAUUUAUUGUGCUGCUGGGUGUGUUUACCAGAUUCAACAGCCUGGAUACAGCUUGGCUACUCUGUCAAGCAAUUUUAGAUUCAGGUAGCCAAGAGGCAAUUGAGCCAUUUUAAAUAAUGCAAGGUACAUUGUAAAGAUAAGUAGAGAAGCAAGAACAGCUAAAAAGCUAGUUGCCAUACAAAUAAAUCUCAACAGAUUUUGCAGAGGUUCAGAAAAGUCAUUUAACAGCAUAAAUUUAUUGUUGGCAUCUCAUGCCCAGAAGUAGCUCAGUUGCUUACCUCUUACCUCUGAUCCUUCUACCACUGCUACUACAGACAAAUUUCUUUGUACUUCUCUCUCCUCCUUUUCAACUAAUUGAUGCCUUCUCUCUGCCUUUGGUUUCCAUCCUGCUACGGUUUCACUCCUUCCAUAUAAUUUAUAAACUUUCUAAGAAAAAAGACCUGAUUGGUUAAAUUUGUGGCUUUCCAGUAUGGGGCAGCCAAGCUAAGGAGAACUUUCAUGCCAGUCUACCUCAUCGGCCCUGGUCCUAGUGAUCUAUUUCUGAUAGGACUGAAAAAAGUGCUUUAUAGCUCUCAAGAUCCUGAGUGAUUAUGGUGGAAAAGACAUUUUUCUUCCUUACUUUCAUGAUUUUAAUAAGAAUUUCUGAAAACAAUGUUAUUUUCCUUAGAGUUUUUUUUCCCCAUUUGCAUUAUGAUUUCUCCAUGAAAGAGAAACUUACUUUGCUAGGCAUUGCACUCCUCUGAUUCCAUUUUAAAAAUAAACUUUGUGUUUAAGCUUCUUCCCUUGAAGAAAAAUUUUGAAGCGAAGGAAAACUUAAAUAGCAAAUAUGAAUUUUUGACAGCACAUAUCCUUAUAAUUAAAUAACUUUAUGAUUUUUUUUAUAUUUAUAGUCUCCACUAGAUAAAAACUCUAGGCAGAGAUCAAAUCAUUCUUAUUCACUACUUCUUCACAGAUCCUGGAACAAAAUAUCCCAUAUUAGGUAAUGCCAGUGUGUUGAACAAAUAAGUACAAACUAAUUUAGAACUACAGUAUAGAACAAAAGAAAAGUAUUUUAGUUUACAAAAUAAUCUUCAUAAAUGAAAAAAUGCAUAUAAAGAAUGUUGUUCAAUAGGAGACUGAUAGCAUUUCACAGUUCAAACCAGGGUAUCAAAAUAGGACUUAGCAUCUAGUUAAAGGUACCAUCUUUGAUUUCCUCAUAUUUACAUGCAAAUCAGAAUUGUGUACACCUACUUGUUCUUGCCCAUAUGUUUUCUUGAAGUUAUAGGUAAAGUGUUACUAAAUUGAGGCAGAAAGCAACAAAACUGAUAUAACCAAGAUUUAAUAGAAGGGAAGAUGAGAAAAUGUAAAACAUGUAAUGGUUGUUUAGAAAUGAUGAUGCAGACCUGGCAGAUUGUGUCAAGUGGUACAGAAAAGAAUAUUAGCUAUGCUUAGGGUAAAAGCUAUAACUUUAAGUUUAGUAUUCUUAGAGUAAUAAACACAGUCUUGGUUGUCAGAAGAUUUUACUUAAAAUUUUUAUUAGUAUUAAGCUUUUGUUUUAAUAUGUGAUAGCUAAUCAUCUGUUACCUACACUGUGUGGGUUCCAUUUCCUGAUUGGUGAACCUGGCUUUCUAUAACAGCAUCCUUUAGUGGAAAUUUUCGAGACUGUGUAGUCUGGUCAUAGGAGCCCUUAAUCUUUCUUUCCUUGUGUGUAGAUGACUAUGAUCAUACUGCAUAGAAUACAUACCUCAUUUUUCUCCAAAACAGUCAUGAUUUAUUUCCAACUAGGAUGAUUUCACCAAAUAGUCUGGAAUCAGUUGUGCUGGUCAAAAUGCUUAUCAAUGAAGCCAUAUUAAAGAGACCUUAAAGUAGCUUCUGUAACUAAGACUAAUAGCAAGAACUUGGAAUGUAGUAAAGUUUAAAAAUAGCCAGAUUCCAUCCUUUAUUACUCUUAUUGAAAUCCAUUAAUAUAUAAUUCAGCAAUUGAAAUUGGGCAAAUGAAAGUUUACCUGUGCUGCCUUUGCUCUAGGUUCGCUAAACUCCACAUGUUACCUGAAUAAUCCAGACAUUUACAAAUCUUGUCUUUGCACUUAAUGUCCUAUCUGGAUUAUCCUUUCCCCGAAAGCAAAUAUCUGCUCAGAACCAACUCUAGUUGCCCCUCUGGCAAAUCUUCCCCAACUCCACAAAGGAAUUAGUCUCUCCUACCCUGCACUUGAAUACACUGAGGGGAGUUUGUGUCUAUAUAUCCUAUCAUAUAAUACUUAGUAUCCUAUUAGUUGCUGUAUUGCCUAUCCUAGAUUGAGUCCUGUGGGCUUAGGAAUUCAGCAAUUUACCUUGCACAGGAAAAUUAUAAUAAAAGUUUGGUAAAAGAUUAAGAAAGUGAGGGACAAAAGGAGUUACCUCAGUACUAUCUCUGAUAAAUGGGGAGAAUAUUCAUUGGCCAAGUCAGUUUUCCAUUAUGAAUUAAAAACUAACAGUCUUAAAAUGGGAUACAAGAUAACUCAAAUUGUGCAAUAAAUUUAAGGAAAAUCCAAAGAAUUUUGAUUUAACAUUGCCUGAUCCAGAAAUAGAUCACUGAGAAUUAUUUUAGAGCAACUGUAGAAAAAAAUCCAUAUAAUUAGAAAGCGGAUAUAUAUAUAUCCAAAAUGUGGAGGUUCUUCCUUAUUAAUACUUUGGAUUUAACUGCUCUCAAAAUGAUACACAAACAGCCUCCACAGUUAAAUGGAGCAAGAGAUUUCUGAGUUGCUUUAGUAAUCUCUUUAGAAUAAAGUUUCAGACAUCUGGGAUCUCAUCUUGUGCUCUGACUUAAUUAGCUUCAUACAUUGGCAAGUCACUUCUCUGAGAUUUCAUUUUAUGUAAUAAGGUGGAGUAAAUCAUAUUUCUUCCUUGGUUUCCCGUCUAAUUCUUGAAGGGAACUUUUAAAACAUGAAAGUAUUAUGCCACAUCCUAUUGAAUUAGAUUCAAGUGUGGGUCUUAGGAAUCAAAUCAGUUCAGGAUUUCCCCAGAUAAUUCUGAUGAACCAAUCUUAAAGAACUAUGUGCUAAAUGAUUUCAUAAUUGCCUUUCAGUUUCAAUUAUUUUAUUUGAGUUGCUAAAAAACAUUUUUUAUGAAGUACUGUUAAGUUCUUUGGAAAAGGAAAGUAUGCCCAUGAAACUGGGUAUCAAAAGCUAAUGGAAGUCUGCUGUAAGGAAAUAAUUUUUAGGUGAGAAUGAUCUCUGUGGGUUUGAAUAAGAGAGGAAGACUCCAGCAGAAUACCUGAGCUAGGCUGCUCUGUGUGAAGGAUAGCCUUCAGACAGAGAAGAGAAGCUAAGGGUAUUUCAUGAGCAGAGAAUCCUAAGAUGUCAAGAGACAAGUGGAAAGAAAAGUAUAUGUGUAGUUUCUGGGCAAUAAUGAGUCUACAGCUCUGACUUGAUAAACUUAGCAUGUUUUUCUCAAUAAUGUACAUAUUUCUAUCUGAAAAAGUACUAAUUAGACAAGAGGAAAACACACAAGGAAAUUUUUUCUUACUGCUUUGGAUGAAUUUUAGGAUAAUUCUCUAAUUCAAACUGUAGAGUAUCUCUAGUUAGAGGCAGAAGCAGAGCUUCAGAUGACCAGGUCUGUUUGACCUCUCCUAUGCCAUGUUUUGUAUAGAUCAUCUAAUUUCUUAUAUUCCCAAAAGUAAAAAAUUGUCCCAGAACAAGAGUCAAAAAUAACAUACAAAGUCAAAUGUACAGUGACUUCAAUAAUAUGAUAGUUGAAGCAUCUAAGAAAAAUGUUGACAAUUAGCUGUUUAACAUCAAACUAAUAACUUGCUGUCUAUUCCCUCCAGCUCCUUUGUGAGCCUGAAUAGCUCAGGAGUAAGAUAGAAGAAGAGUCCUUCCUUGAGGAAGUUAUAAAAACUUGUUUUAUUUUUUUCCUUAAAUGUUAAAAGAAAUUUUACAAUGACGUACAUGAAAUGAAACAAAAUGAGAGAGAAGAACUAAUAUCUCUGACAAAUUAGUUUGUUAAAUGAAAUAAAAAUAAGUUAUUUACUGAAUGAAAACUAUUAUAUUUUAUAUGAUGGGAUAAUGUUCCUUUUUAAAUUUUCCUUCUAUUUCUUUAUAAUAUACUAUUGCUUCAAAUUUUUACCAAGAUUUCUAUUAUUUCUCUUAUUUGAGUUGCAUGACUCAAUUAUCCAACUAUCCUGUCAAAUUUUAAAUUACUUCUCUAAUUUAAUUAUCACUUCCCAUAUAAUCUUCUAGUAUUUCUCUUCACUUGUGCUGAGAACUUAUAUGUGUAUGUAUUUCUCUGCAUUCUGUCUUUUUUAUGGACAUAGCAGCAAAUUGUUCAUUAGGCUUCCAUAAAUCCUUACAGCAUGCAAAGAUAUCUCUCCUGUGUUUAUUGAGACUCAAAUUGGUUUUUUUUGUUUCAAGUUUGCAUAAGAUGUAUGUCCCCAUCAUUACAGUGUAGGGGAGCGUUAUGAACAAAACCACCAGUUUUACACUUAAAAACUUGCUUUCUUUUAUUAUCCAGUAUGCCUAUAUAUGCUAAUGUUGCCUAAGUAAGGAUAUACAAUACUUUGGGUCUUAUUUUUAUUCCAUUGCUUCAUUCUUCUUCUAAAUAAUCUUUCAUUUUUCUUUUUUCUGCUCAGAAAUGUUAUCAGUUCUUCUAUAAAUAAUUAUGGUAAUAAAUAUAAGGUAAACAUCAUAAACAAGUGUUACUAAAACUACAAAGAGUAUAUACCACAGAUCUGGACAAAUUCUGAACUAAAUUCCAAAAACUUGACACUACAGGUGAAUACAUAUAUCAGAAUAGUUGGUUAACUGGAGAAAGAGCAAAGGUGGUGGCAAAAGCAACAGCAGAAAGGGGAAAAAGGGAAAUUAUUCUGGGACUAGUUGAAAGAUGAGAUGUUAAUAAGGAAAAAAAUCUUUUCUGGUUUAAUUAUUCUGUGAGAGAUUAGUUGACUAUAAACAUAGCACCACAUAGUUAAGGAACACAUGUAUUCCCAGAAGCUUUAUUUGUGAAACCAGCAUUAUAUUACUUUAUUUAAAAAUAGAAACAAACCCAGUCCGGGGAUUUAGCUCAGUGGUUCGGCCACCUGCCUCGCAAGCGCAAGGUCCCUAGUUUGAUCCCCAGUACCAAUAAAUAAAAAAAUAGAUAGAUAGAUAGAUAGAUAGAUAAAUACAAAUCCCACAUAGUAGCUAAAGGUAGUUUGUAUGAAAUAAGUUAGUGAAAUGCAAGAAACCAUCAUUCUAGGAAGAGGAAACUCCACAACACAUUCUAGAAGGCAUGUCCUGAUGCUGAGUACUUGUUUUUUCAUUUGUUUGUUUGUUUUUUCAGAUGAUUUUCUUUUUACUACAUGUUUGUAGUACAUAAUGUUUACAUUCCUUGUGUAAAGUUGGUACAUUACAUAACACAUCAUAAUUCCUUUGUUCAUCCCCUUUUCUUUUCUCCCUCCUUCCAUUUCUUGACCCCCUUUCCUUUUCAGAAAGAUCUGUCUCCCUACUUCCUAUUGUAUAUCUUGUAUUUUGCUCUUUGUACAUCUUUAGGUUUCUUAUAUAAGAGAAACCAUGAAUAUUUAAGCUUGUGUAUCUGAUUUAUUUUACUUAACAUUAUGGUCCCAAGGCGCAUCUGUUUUCCUACAAAUGACUCAGUCUUAAUCUCAAUCACUUAAUCUUUCUUUAUAGUAGUGUAAUACUCCAUUGUGCAUAAAUACUGCAUCUCCUUUAUCCAUUCAUCUGGUAAAUAUACGUGAAAGAACAUUUGUAGAUGUCCAUUUUCAAAGAAUAUGGAUCUUGAAAUACAAAAUCAUAAACCCUAGGGACCAAGAGCUAAACCAAGCCAACUACUUAUAACAGAAGUACAUUGAAUGAGGCUUACAACAGGAAAUAAAAAUAGCUUCUCAACCAAGACCAUGUCCAUGACCUUACCAACUAUACAUAUUAAAUAUUAUUAAACAAGAGGUGAGCUACAAGGGAAAACUUUUCACUUCUGUAUACUUUAGAUAAUUCCUGUAUUUGGGAUACAACUCAAGAUAUCCCUCAGUGAAAAUGCAGAUUUGAACCUAACUUUGUCUCAUACUUUUUAAAAAUCACCUGUAGCCAUUGGCUUCAAUUUUCAACAUCACAUUACUUUCCUAGGUAUUAUGUCACUGUGUUCUGCCAUUUAUAGACUUCAAUAACUUCUUUUUGAUAUUUUGUGAAUUACAACUUUUUUGCAAAUCUGAAACACAACUGUAUCCAUAAUUGUCUUUAUACAUAACAUCAUGUCAAAAUCAUCUUUAAACUAAUUUUAUUUUUUCUUCAAAAUUUCAAAUUCUGCAUAAUCUGCAUCCUUUAAUUUAUUCCAUAUAGAAAGAUUCUUCCUUAUCAUGUUUUUACUUUAGCUUUAAUCUUUCACCUUGUAAAACCCUCAAUAUUUAUAUGCCUGUGAUACAUUUUCACUAUUUCACAGUACCUUCAAAAUUAGUAUUUUCAUUGUCUUAAUAUAUGUACCUACUAAGAGCAUAAAAUCUUAAAAUAUUUAUCAUAUUUCCUUCAGUCUUUCCCUAGUGUAUUAAUGGUGUCUUCUACAAUAUCAGCCUAUUUCGUACUGUUACUAAAUUCUCCCAGAUUGUCUUCUGAGUUUCAAUAAGCAAACUUUCUUUGAACCCCCAGUCUGCUUAUUAUGUGACUUUGUGCAAAUUACUUAACUUUUCUAACUCUAGGUUUUCUCAUUUGUAAGUGGAGAUGAUUUUAUGUGCCUCAUUCUAGUAACAUGAGAGAAUGCACGUAAAUCACAUAGCACAUUGUCUGGUACCUAAUUUUAAUUAUUCAAUAAAUGUUUGAUGCUAAUUAUUAUCAUUAAUUCUGAUAUAAAUAUUUUAAAUUCAUGUAUACUUAAUUUACUUUUCUCUAAACAGGUUUUUUUUUUCCUUUACACUGAACUUUAAAUAGCUUUGUUUUAUAUUUGCAUAAUUCUGUUGAGUAAAGAACAGAUUUUCCCUGAACUCUUUGAUGAAGUUAAUUGGACUCUAGGGUCCCUUAAAACUAGCAGUGAACUUAGAGGCUUCUUUUGAAUUUGAUUUAAUUACCUUCUGAGUCAUACUUCAGAAGAAAUUUUAUUCCAGUGAUAAUACUGAAUUCAUUUUAUAUAUCAAAUAAAAAUUAACUUUAGUUCUUCCCCAAUUUCUAGGAAGAACGAAGUGCUAGCAGGAACACAAUAGUCUUCACUUAUGGGUAAUUACCUUCUCAGCAUUUUCCACGGGCAUCUGUGACUCAAAAAUUGCUUCAGAAGACUUUUAUGGAAACAUCUAUGGCAAUCAAGUCUGUUUUAGAAGGGAAUAACAUGAAACAUUCUGUAUUCUAUCAUUUUGAUUCCUCCCGUCUCUACAAUUUCUUUAACUGUCUUAUAAGAUAGCAUGAUGUAAAAAAAAAAAAAAAGCAUGAUGUAAAUAUAAUGGGAAAAUAUCAGUAAUUAAAGCAGAAGUCAUGCAUUCCAGUUUGGGGUUUAAUUUUUUUAUAUUAAAUAGCUGAGAACUGUGACUCUGCAGUUAGAUAAAUCUGGAUUUGACUCUUCAGUCUUCUCACUGUGACUUAGAGUUAGUUUUUUCAUCAGCUCUAAAGUAGUGAAGACAGACUCAGUUGUUAAGAGUUGUCUGUUACUUCUAUAUCUUUUACCAACAUAUUUAACUUUAUUAAGCCUGUUUCAUCCUCUAUAAACUUCAGAAUUUUAUGGGGAUAACUUUGUAGUCACUGAAAUACAGUGAGUUCGCAAUUCAAAUUAAUUACUUUAGCUAACUUCAUGUGUAACAGUCAUGUUAGCACUUAAUUAUUCAGUAGCAAUUUAUUGCAUUGUAUUUUUCAUUAAGUCUUCAUAUACAAUUGUUUAAUAUGUUUAAUUUGUUUCCUUGUAGAAGACUGUAAUAUACUUGGGUAAAGGUCCUUAACAAAUAUACCUUUUAUAUCUACAAAGUGCAAUGCACAUAGUAGGUGCUCAUCAUAUACUUGUUAAUUGAAUCUGUGUGCUCAAAAACAUUUCUUAUCUACUAGCGGUAAAUGCAGGGGAACUGUUGGAAAAAAAUGAAGUGUACUAGUUUGCCACAUUACACAAGCCUAGAAAAUGUAAUCCAUGUCCAGUGGCAAACCCUGGAGUUGUCGGGUUGUUCUACACAGCUAAUGGCAUGUGUAGAAAGAUAGUUAUUCCAGAAAUCUGAUUCUGAGCUGGCUGCCAUCAAAUUAAAAGUAGAUAUAUAUAUUAGAUGAGUAUAGAAAUGGAUAAAGUGUCUUCCAUUGUCUUAUACUUGUAUUUCGUGAUAUGUUUGAUUAUUUUGAAAAAUGAUUAAUAGCAAUAAAAAAUGGAAUGACAUUCAGUAAGGAAAAGUAAAAUAGAGAAACUAGAAAUGAAAGGGGUACUUUAGAAAGUAUGAUGGUGAACAAGCACAUAAGACAGAAUAUCCCAGGAUGUACAGUGUAUAGCAAUACCAUAUUCACUUGUACAUCUUAGAUAUACAUCUUUCAUCUGUAGGGAAAAUAACACAAACUUGAACUGUAAAAAUAGAAAAAUAAUAUAUAAACAUUCUGGUGAUAGUUCUCAAUACAUGUCAUUGACAAGAAUUUGGUGUUGUCUCUCUCGUGUUGAGUCCCAACUUUAGAGAAUGGCAUAAAGAUCUAAAGAUUUUUAGAUAUGAUUUAGAGAAAAGGCAACAUUGUUUAUCCCCUUUUCUAAAUAGAGAAUACAGUGCUAAAUCUUGUAAUAAAACUGUACAAAUGGAAAUUGAAUCUUAAGGAUUAUUUUUUCCAUAUUAUUGUAUUUCAUUGUGGUGUAUUGGAAAGUGAUCUGGACUUUGAGUGAGAAGAUGUGAUUUGGACCAUGGCACUUAAAAACUCUAUAACUUCAGCUUUUUAAUUAAAUGAAGCCAAGUGGGAUUUGCAUAAAGUGAAUAUUUACCAUGAAGAUACUGUUCCUGACCAUUUUGAAUUCUUGAGUUCUUUUUUUGUUCUUGUGAUAAGCUAGCUUAUUCUUGUAUACAUUUUUUAAACUGUCAGUUUUCCUACUCAAUUUAAUUUAUAGAAAUGGAUAGUAACAUUCAGUAAUCUGCGAAGGAAACAUUAAAAUGUUUUUUCAGACAUAUUCAGUGUAUGUGGUAGGAUUGGAAUAAAUGACAAUGUAACUAUGAAUUCAUGUUUUAGAACUGUUCACUCAUUAGUAAAGGAGACCACAUGUUAGUAAAGGAAACCUAUGGAAUGUAUGUUAAAGAAUAAUUAGUAUUGUACAGGGAUAAGGCAUAUGCAUGAAAAUUUCAUGUAUGGGAAAUUAUACUUAUUGCAGUUUCAGUUAUAAAGGAUGUGCACUGUUACAAGUAGUGUUUUGUUCUUAUUAAUCCUAACUAUAUCAAGGCAUGUAGGAUAAAUUGUUGGAUGAAUAAUGCCUGGAUGUGGGUGCCUAACCUAGGAAAGGGAAAAUCUUCCUGGGGUCCAAAUUAAAGCAAAUAUCCACUUAAUCAACAUGCCUUAAAGGUAUUAGGCAGUGGAAGCAACACACCACAGCUAUGAAUUAGUAUUCUCCAUUAUUAGAAGUGUCAUCUAGGAAUCUAGAUUCAUAACAGCAAACCUAACACAUUAGGGCCAUUUUCCUUUUGUUUUGCGGAAGCAGCUUGCCAUUUAAGCCUCAUUCCCUGAAUCUGUAUAAGAGACUAAUUCUUUGAAAUGAGUGAAUGACUCAGUAAAGCUUUCUUGAAAUCAAGUAUAGGAAUGUAACAAUUAUUGUGCUUAUAUCCUGGUUUGUAGAGUAUAUUUACAUACAUUAUUGUAUUUGUUUCUCACAACUGCUUUAUAAAUAAGAAAGGAAAUACAAAAUUUUUUCUGGUAGUGGAAGCUGAAAGCCAAAAAUAAAAGUAGAAAUCAGGCUUUCAAACUCUCAAACCUAUGUUUUUAUAUUCCAAGUACAACCUAAAGGUAGAUAUAGGAAAAAUAAUUCUACAUUCAGUUUAAUAUUUUUUUUCUUUUUUAAAGACUUAUUUAAUUUUCAUUACAAUUUGGAUAAUAGAUCACAGAACAUUUUGUACACUGGGUGUUCCAGCUAUAUAGUCUCAAAGAGGAACCAGGUAUAUAUCCAUGGAAUUUACUUAUUUUGUACCAAUGAAUUUCAAUGAAGAAUGGAUAAUUUAAAAGCCUACUGGGGCAUAUUUAUCCUAAGGCAAUGUGUGUGCUAGCAGGAUGAGAGCUAUCUUUUCAAAACAUCAUAAUAUUCAGUGAAAAUUACCUAAUAAUUCAGAACUAUAUUAACCUUAACAUAUAUUCCCAAAACAAUUAUUAAAAAUACUAAUUUUCCUAGUUUUUGUUCACAGAUUAAUUCAGAUUGAAAUGGCAUUUAUGAAAAAGCAAUAGGCAUCCAUAAUUGUUUGGUGCCUAUUCCUAGGUAGCGCUUCACUUGUAGUUCUUUUAUCCAUUAAUAAUUCUUAAUCCAUUUAGUAUUUUUAUAGUUCCUGAAGUCCAUUUAGAACUCUAGAGAAUACAAAUAAAGUUUGAGAGUAAAUUUUAGUAAGAAAGACAUUUAUUAUAUUUUGUUCCCUUACCUGUCAGAAAUAUCUUUCAGUACAAUAAGCAGUUGAGUGACUAAUACUGACAAAACACAUCACUCUAUAAAGAUUAAUAGUAUUUAAUCAUGAUCAAACUCAGGUCAUUCUCAGAUUUUAUGACCAAGGUAGUAAGUCCUUCCUUAUCCUGUAUUAGUAAAAAUUUUCCAGCCUACGUUUUGUAAUUUUCUCUGAACAUGAAAAGUAAUUCCAAUGAUAACAAUAUUUUUAAAAAUUUUAUAGUUUACAAAACUGUAACUUCUCUAUGAACAAUUGUAGAAAAAUGACAGUUCAAAAUAAAUUAUCUCAACAUAAAUCAUUACUGGAAAGUGCUAUAGGCAAAACUACAAAGAGUAGUUCAGAUAAAGCGUGCUUGCAGGACAAAGCAUAUGCAAAAUCACAUACAUAAUAUAUGAUAUUUUCUUUGCUAGACAGUAAGAAUGGAUUUGUAUCUGGUAUCAUGCAUUCUGCAAUGUCACUUUUCAACCAGAUUCACUGUAUUGAAAACUCAUAAAAUUGAUAUGUUAAAUAAUCUCCAGUUAAAAUUUUCUUUUCUGCUUAGAAUUAAAAAGCUUUAAAUGGGCCCAGGGAUUUAGCUCCGUGGUUUUGCCGCCUGCUGCUCAAGCGCAAGGACCCGAGUUUGAUCCUAGAGUGCCAAGAAUGCUGUAGGCUCACAGAAAACAGGACUUACCGGCAGCUGUGAUGUCUUUGAGAGAUAGUAAUAUCCUCACCACUUUAGAGUAAACAGGUUCAUUUGAUUUAUCAACCAGUCUUAAGAGACUUCUCACAAGUUUUACAGAAGAUCUCAUACAGAUACCUAAUUAAGGCCAUUAACAUAAGGAAGCCAUGACUGGAAAGUUUUAUGAACAUUUAAAUCAUCCUGACAAAAAUAAAAUGAAAAUUCCUUGUGACUGUAUGUCUCCAUUAUUUGCAUAUACACAUAUAGAUCUGAAAUACAUUAAUUUAAUUUAAUUUUAUUUUAUUUUAUUUUUUUAUUUUUUAUUUUUUUGGUACUGGGGAUCAAACUUGGGACCUUGUGCUUUUGAAGCAGGCAGCAGAACCACUGAGCUAAAUCCCCAGCCCUGAAAUACAUUAACUUUAAAUCUAUUACAAUAAGCAAAAAAUAUAUUUAACAAAGAUUUUCUGAAUAUUUAC